AACUUUUCCUUGACUGUCUUUUUACCAAAAAUAGAUGAAUCCCAGUAAUAAGUUUUUUAUCUUUGUGUCCUCAGAAUAUUGAACUUUAUAGGCAUUCAAUAAACACUGUAGAAAUGAAGGCAUGAUCGUCCUAGCAGAACUAGAACUAGAAAUGGAUUGUUUUACUUCUUAGCUGGUAACUUUGGGCAAGCUUCUCUAAGCCUGUUUCCUCAUCUGUAAAAAGGGAGGCUAGGUUCCAUGCUCUCCGGGUUCUCUGCCAGAAGAAGCUCAUGACUACACAGGAGAUGCUUCCUGGGGCUGGGGCUCGGCAGUCAUGAAGACUGUAGCAAGCUGCUGGAGAAGGAGCCCAGAGCUUCCCCACUGGUGGGCCACGGCCCACUGGUGGGCUUCACACGGCUAACAGAUGGGCCAAAGGAUCAACCCCCUGGGUUCUGGGGCAGCAGAACCCAUGGACUGGCUACAUCCAACCACAAACACCCUUAUCUCUUUACCCCUAUAUGUGAUAAAAAUAGCUUUUCCUGUCAUUUUCCAUGUGUGCCAACAGGAAAAAUGGUGAGAGCACUAAAUUGGAUUAUUAGCUUGGUACUGAGUGGGAGGCAGGAUUUAGCUUACAAAUCCAGGACAGUUUGGGGAUGCUCUCUUCUCCCUGUUGCUCCCCGCUCCACCUUGGAGAGGCCCACUGGCCACUACAGAGGUGCCAUAUCAGUAGUUUCUGGCCUACAGAGCCAUCUGAAGAAUCACGGAGGAUAGACGUAUCUUAACGCAAGGAGAAAGGAUGCCCUGGAGAAAGUGGUGGCUUCAGAGCUCCACCCUGUAUGCAGAGGAACCCUUGUCUAGGCUUUGCCUGCAGCUGAGCAGAGGCAGGAACGUGGCCCCAAGAGCAGACCUGGAGGGCCACGUCCAGGGCUCCCUGCAAGGACACUCAGAGCUCCGUCAGGCAGCGGGGCCCAGCCCAGUGGCUGGGCCCAGCCACAGCUGUUGGCAGGGAGUCUCCAGGUCUAAAAUUAGCCUCCAGCUCUCCACCCAGGCAGUUCCACCACUCACUCUGGCAGACAGGGCCCUGUGGUGAGGUAAUGACUGGGAGCCUGUCUGCCUCAGGACAACAAGGGGUUAGAGGCAGGCAGCACAGAGCAAGUCCCGCUUUCCCAUCAUGGUCAGCCUCAGGCUAGGAACUGGGGAAGCACACGAAAAGCAAGAGCACCCGUGUGUACGGACCGGACCUUUGCAUUACUCUGCUUUUCCUCCGUGUCUGGAUCUGUGGGGUACACCCUGUCCUGUUCUUAACUCGAGCUCACCAAGGACAGGAAAGCAAAGUUUUACUGAGAGGUUAAGAUGUGCCAGGUUUUCAAUUUGCCACCACAACCCUGUGAGGUCAGGAUCAUUAUUCCCAUUAAACAGAACACCACAGGGAUGCUCAUCAGAUUAGCUGACCUAAGUCAGUGACCCUGUGAGGAAGAAUCCAGAAGCACCAGCCCUCUUCUUUUGGAGGGGAAGUCUGCCUCCUGGAGGGGCACCUCUUGGGAGAGCUCCCCUCCCUGAGGCAGGGCCUGAGCUAUGACUCACUGACCCCCACCUCUACUUCCCUCAGCUUCUGAUGGUCUGGUCAGGAGCCUGAGGCUGAAGCUGCCAAAGUAAGUGGCCAACCCCACGGCCAACCACUGGGCAGGAAUCCCUUCCACCCCUGGGCUGAGCACACAAGGGUUUUUAUGUGAUGGCUGCCCAGGAGGCAGAGAGAGGUGGAGGUGGUGAGGCUCUGAGGUGGGGACUGGUCCACAGCUAGGAAGUGCACAGGAGGGGUUGGAGGGCUAUGAGAAAGAUGACCAGGGUCACCAGGGCCACUGGAAUUGCCCUCCAAAGUCACUGAGUCUCUCCAGCCAAAGGCUUCCCAGAAGAUCAUCUCCCUAAGGACCAUCAUCCUGGGCUCAUCCAAUUUCAACCCCUCCCUCAAUGCCCCCACCUGUGGAACCUGUCCUUCUAUUCCCAGUGACAUCCAGGAUUCACCAUGCGGGAUGGGUGUCGCCUCCCACUCCCCAUUGCUCCACAUGCACCCACAGGCAGUGGCAGAGGACGCCUCAGACAGGUGGAAAGGAGCCAUCUCCCUUCAAGGAGAAGAGAAGCAGCAACCUCAGAUGCUAAAAUGGGACUGCAGCCUAAGUCGCUCCAAGUUCCCAGGAGAGAGGUUCCACGAGAAAACAAGGUACUAUUGUUCUUGCUCGCCCUCCACUCCUUCCCUCACGUGAUUGGCUCACGAAAACCCUCCCAGCUGGGGAAGUGUUCGCUACCCUGGAACUUUCCAAACCUUCUUAGAUAUAAAGGAGCAGAAAAAUAUAGAAAAACAACCCUUUCUUGAGGAUUUUCUUUCUUGGUUUUAAAAGAAACAACUUUCGGUGUUUUGGGGUUUGUUUUCCUGACUCUCAGGCCUCCCAAUUUCUAAAUAUACCAGGCGUAAUCAUUCUGAGCAAACCGAGUUACGUACAAUAUAUUUUUAUCUUGCUAAACUAACGGAAAUCUACCUUAGAUUUGUAACGGGCACUAAAAGCAUCUCGUAAUUGUUUCCUUAAAAAUAUUACAACAGAUCACCAUUUCCCAGAAAUUGAACCUCCUUAAUUUUUCUAUCAGUAAGUACCUCAGGUAGUUUAUGCCCAUUUCUUUUUCUCAAAGUGGUAAAUACCAACUUUCAAUUUAAUGGCUCUUCCUUCAAUCAAUGUUUCUCCAUAACACACAGGUGGUACUUCCUGAAA